UUAUUGUACCUCUGUUGCCAUAUUCCUUUAUCAUUCAAAAGCAUUGUGCAUUAACAUUUUGAGGUGUCCACAAAUGUGUAAAACAAUGAUUGACAUGUCUCUAUGUUUGUUUUUUCAGCAGUAAGAAGAUUGUGCUCAUGACACACAGCAGAUGGGACCUCUACAGAAGAAAGCAAUUGGUCCAUGAGAAGCUGUACGUAGGAGGAGGCACACAGAUCUUGUCCCAAGCAGCAACAGAUUGAUGGCAGAUUAAGAGAAGCAGAGCUUGGUCCAUGACAAACUGUAUGUGGAAGAAGCAGACAGACUUGAUCCCAACCAGCCAGAAAAGGACACGUAGAUAUAGAUUGCAACCGAUUCUGAAAAGAUGUAUAAAAAAUUAUAUUUUGACGGAAUUGUAAAUUUUCUGCGAUUCUGCAGAUUAACUUAUAACAAUGUAAAAACUUUACCUCAAAUUACAUGUAUUUACAUUAC